UUAUAGCUGAGGAAUUCAACUCAGAAUCAAUCCAUACAAGAAUGAAAUUGUGAUCCCCAAAUCAGAAUCCAGAGGGGGAUUAUAGUUCUGUAUUCUCUAGCGUUUCAGCCAUUGUUGUCGGCGGUUUACUGGUUUUUCGUCGCCGUCAAAUGCAUGUCACUUUUCAGACGGUGAGGUCUGUGUUACGGUAUACGGAACCCUAACCCUAAUCAACUCCACAUCACCUCUUCAUCGGAGCUACGCCACCGCUGCAUGCGAUGUCCUCCGCUGCGGCGGCGGUUGAUCCACCACACAACACCGUGGACCCUGCCUCCAAGUCCGAACAGGAGAUGGAGGAUGAGGAGUACGAGUACGAGUACGAGGAGAUAGAAGAAGAAAUAGAGGAAGAAAUUGAGGUUGAAGAGGAAGAAGAAGUGGAAGAAGUAGAAGAAGAAGAGGAGGAGGGGGAAAAGGAAGAUGUAGAAGAAGCGGGAGCAGAUAGUGACCAAGAAUUAGCCCCAUCCAAUGGAGAAGAUAGCGGAAAGGGCACUGCUGAAGCAGGAAUUGCAGAAGCAGCAGCCAAAUUGUUCAAUGAACAUGAUCAUAAAAAACAAGACUUGGAGGAAGAAGUCGCGAGAAAAGAGGGAGCUGAUAAUGCUGAGGAAUUAACUAAACUCAAUGAAGAAGAUCAUGCAGAAGGCAACGUAGAAGUGGAAGAAACAGCAGCUGCUGAAAUUGCUGAAGGAUUAAGUCAAUGCAACAAAGAAGGUCAUGAAAAAGAAAAUAGACAAGUUCUGGAGCCUGCAAGGCUUGAAAAGCUUUUGGGGUCAGAUUCUGCUACUCCCCAAGAAUCGGUAGCACAUCCACCAUUGGAUGCCUCUGUAGUAAGGGACAGUGAUAACAAUAACGGAACUGCUAGCCCAGAUGAUACAAAUGAAGGGAAGAAGUCAACGGUUGAUGGAAAUAAAACCCACAGAGGUGAUGUCAAUAUUUCUCUGCAUGAGGGUGGAGUUAUGCCUGAAAAGGCUUUUGGUUGUGAAAUCAAUGCUGCAAUGUUGGAUGUUGAUCCUUCCAGCAAUGGGAUUAUUGGUGUCCAAUAUUCCAAAGAUAUGGCAGAUCAGGAAGCAGCACAAGCUGUAGAAGAUAUGGAGAUAUCACCAAGGUCGGAUGUUCCUCAAUUAAGGCCAAGAAGUUUGUCACCCGGUGCUGAAUUCAAUGAUAAAAAUAAACGACCCGCAAUUAUAUGUGAUUUUUUUGCUAAAGGCUGGUGCAUCAAAGGAAGUUCCUGUAGGUUCCUUCAUGUAAGGGAUAAUGCUGCUAACAGUUCCAAGGAGGGCAGUGUAGAUGCUUCUAAGCUAAAGGGCAUACUUGCUGGGGAAGGUUUGAAAUAUACAACUGAAAUAUCAGCAAAGAACAUGCAUUCAGACCUGGGUCUUUCUAGGAUUGAACAUGAAGCAACACUAAGGUUGAAGAGUGGGAUUGAGGAAGUGCCUCUAGACAAAAACCUUUCUGUGUCUGAUACCUCUUUAAAGGAUAAGGACAUUGGGAGGGAAUAUCUUGAACAUAAACCAUACUUGGCCAACUACAACCACUCAUCAUCAAUGCUCAAAGACUAUUCUCAAACUUUUGGGAACAACUCUUUUGGUAGAGGUUUGCCAUCUGAAAAUUGUAGAAAUGUUGGAUAUUCCUCUUAUUUCUCACAUUUAGAAGGAAUAAGAAGUAAAGGAAGCCAGUUUCUUCAUGAUGACCAUCCUUCAAAUUGCCCUGUAGAGAGGGUACCUUUAUAUCCAAGUGCUUCUUGGAAUGCAAGUCCCCUUGGCUUGCAGAAGCCUAUAGAAGGUGGUAAAGAACUUUCUGCUUCUGGAUCUGUUUCAUUCAAACACAAGUCUCCGCCGUUCACUGGUUCUGAAUCAACACUAAUUUCUCACCUUGAUUUAUCUGCACCUACACAUCAUUCGUCUCUGUAUAAGCCCAACCUAUCCUUUGACAAUUGGGAGCCUUCUGUUCCAUUUCAACCAUCAUUCUUGAUUACUCAGCGUAUGCUGUCUGAGGCAAGUCGAUAUGAUCCUAUUCGAGACAGUAUUGAGCAGACAAUUGCUCAAGACAAGCCCUCACAGUUCCCUUUCUCUGGUCAAGGUGCAUCUGCCUCUGGCACACACGUGUGUGAAAAUGCUGAUCCAGUAGCAACAGGAAACCUUGGCCCUGAACAGAGCUCUAAUAAACAUUCAGUUUCUAGUCACAGUUCUCACAAGGAUGCUGUUCCCCGAAACCUGUCAGAGAAAGAAAAAGAACUGAUGGAUACUGCAGGGGCUCAUCAGGAGAACAUUUAUUAUACUUCCUUGAAAGAAAAGCAGCUUCCGAAAUCUGCUGAUUUCGGAGAUACUACUGAAGCUGAUAAAACACACUGUAGUAAUGAUACCGUGCAGAAGAAUGGGGCACAGUAUAAGAUGGAACUGAAAGUAGAGAGUGUGAAAAGUGGAAAUGAUGUUGAUGGAUUAGUUCACCAGGACUCUAGAGCUUUAAAACAGUUUGAGUCUGCUGUUGUGGAAUUUAUCAAGGAACUAUUAAAACCAACUUGGCGUGAGGGUCUUUUGAGUCGUGAUGCUUACAAGGCGAUAGUUAAAAAAACAAAAGCUAAUUUUCUUAGCACAAUGCAGCCUGAACAAAUUCCUGAUAAUUCUGAUUCAGUAAAAGAAUACCUCUCAUUUGCUCAGCCGAAACUUGAGAAGCUUGUUCUGGGUUAUGUAGAUAAGUAUGGCAGGUCAUGAUAUGCAUUGCAAGUGUGCAACCUAGAUACUAGGUAGUUUGGAGCUAUCCCAAUGGGAUACUAGGAGUUCUGCCAACUGAUUGACUAUUCUCUGACAAUAUAGUUGGCAACUUUACACAGAAAAGGAGUGAUAAAUGUUCUUAUUAGACAAUAUGGAUGAUAGAUCUUUUUCGUUGCUAAUGUUUGGUUUUUGGGCAAAGCAUCUUAAUUUGCUUCCUUUGGCAACAAAGUGGAAUCACUGUGGACUUUCAUGCAGCUGUUUAUCUUUGCUAAUAUCAA